rnacentral:rRNA from 1 species
GCUAAAACUCAGACUUACACGAACAUACAAAUUUUAGCCAAACAAAACAUUUGACCUACCCAGUAGAUGCGAUCGAACAGUAAAUAAACCAUAUAGUACCGCAAGGGAAACAAUUUAAGCAAUAAACAGCAAAGACUAACCCUUGUACCU